ACGAAAUUUUGGGCAGUUGUGUUUUGAUCACAGAGAGGACCCGUGUGCUGGUGACUUAGGAUGUCUUGGGUGGGUAGUGGCCUUCCUUCCGCAACUCAAAGGCUUUAUCCAAAUACAAACACCUCUCCCCGCAGCCUUCUUUAAAUUGCCUUUAGUGUUAGUUUUAACCUGAUUUCAUCUAUAUGAGAAUGAACUCCAUAAGCCAACAAGGUAAACUCCAGCUGUGGCUCUUAGGAAGUUAAUUGCUGCUUUAAGAGGGUUUAUUGUUAUGAUGGGUUACUGAGAGAGUGAAGUUUGUUUAACUAUAACAAGUUUGGUGUGCUACAGGGAUAGACAUAGAGAAAUAUCAAAGUAGCUCGUGAAGGAGCAGGUGUUAGGGAAAGGGAUAUUUUUAGGAUGGGGUGGAGUACUUGAGCAUGUUUGUAGGCUGGGAAUAAGAAUCAGUGGCAAAGACAGACUGGGUGCAAAAAAAUAAGUUGGAAAGAGAACUUGAAGAAUAGAGUAAUAGGAUGGGAAUUGAGUAAUAGACAUGACUUGGACCAAGAGGAGGACAGAGGACUAACAGUCUCUUUGAAUGUGUGAAGGUCUGGCCAUUUUGUAGAGAUGACAGAGACAGAAGCAACGGGGAACACACUUUCUCUGUAACAAGGCCCUUAGGUCAGAACAGUGCUGUCUGUGAAGUUUACUACGGAUUUGCCUAUUCUGGACAUUUCAUAUUAAUGGAACCAUAAAAUAUGUGGACUGGAUGAUUUUAUUGAGAUAUGAUUGGCAUGCCAUAAAAUUCACCUUUUAAAGAUUGUUGUGGCUCCUACUAGAUCCCUUGCAUUUCCAUAUGAAUUUUAGGGUCAUCUUGUCCAUUUCUGCAAAAAUGGCAGCUGGAAUUUUGAGAGAGACUACAUUGAAUCUGUGCCUCAAAUUAGGAGUGUGGCGACCCUAACAAUAUGUUUUGAAUACAUCAUCCCACUGCCUCUGCCUCCAUGGUUUUUGAUGGGAAAUCAGCUGUUACUCUCAUUGAGGAUCCUUUGUACAUUAUGUGUUGCUUUUCUCUUGAUCUUUCAAGAUUCUCUCUUUUGUCUUUGGCUUUAAACAGUUUGAUUAUGAUGUGUCUAAGUGUGGAUCUCUUUGGGUUUAUCCCAUUUGCAGUUUGUCACAGUAGGCUGCUGGUUUUAAUAAUGAGUGAGGGCUUUUGGUUUUCAAAGCUGUCAUAGAGUUGGAGCUCAGGAAAUAGGACUGGGGAAGCUAUUAGGUUGGGGCAAAAGUAACCACGGUUUUGGACUGUGAAUUUUAAGUCAUUAUAACUAGGUUAAAAACAUCUUUAUUAAUCAAAAUAGGAACCAUUACAAUCAACACAUUUUUGCCUAUGAGAAGUAAGUUUUUAUUCCUGUAGUUAAAUAUCCAUGCUUUGGGAUUUGACGAACUCUUAGAAAGCAUUUUCUGCAUCCUGCUGGUUGUGGAAGCAUUUUCCCUGCAAAAAGUUGUGGAGAUACUUGAAGUGGUAGUCGGUUGGUGGUGAGAGGUCAGGUGAAUAUGGUGGAUGAGGCAACACUUUUCAGCUCAAUUUGUUCAACUUUUGAAGCGUUGGUUGUGCGAUGUGUGGUUGGGCGUUAUUGUGGAGAAGAAUUGGGCCCUUUCUGUUGACCAAUGCUGGCUGCAGGAAUUAUAGUUCUCCAUGCAUCUCACUGAUUUGCUGAGCAUACUUCUCAGAUGUAAUGGUUUUGUCAGGAUUCAGAAAGCUGUAGUGGAUCACAGCAGCAGCAGACCACCAGCCAGUGACCAUGACCUUUUUUUGGUACAAGUUUGGCUUUGGGAAGUGCUUUGGAGCUGCUUCUUGGCCCACCCACUGAGCUGGUUGUCGUAUAAAGUCUACUUUUUGUUACACAUCACAAUCUGAAACAGCUCGUUAUUGUGUAGAGUAAGAGAAGAUGACACUUCAAAAUGACGAUUUAAAAAAAAAUUUCACUCAGUUCAUGAGGCACCCACUUAUGUAGCUUUUUCACCUUUCUAAUUUGCUUCAAAUGCCGAAAGAUCGUAGAAUGGUCACUGUUGAGUUAUUUGGUGACUUCUUGCGUAGG